GCGCAGCAGGCGCGAAUACUUUACAAUGUGCGAAAGCACGAUAAGGGAACUCUGAGUGCCUCCUAAGGAGGCUGUUCAGGUGUCUAAAAGCACCUGAAGGAAGGGCUGGGUAAGACCGGUGCCAGCCGCCGCGGUAACACCGGCAGCCCAAGUGGUAGCCACGUUUAUUGGGUCUAAAGCGUCCGUAGCCGGCUGGGUAAGUUCCUUGGGAAAUUUGGCUGCUUAACAGUCAAGCUUUCAGGGAAUACUGCCCGGCUUGGGACCGGGAGAGGUCAGAGGUACUCCAGGGGUAGGGGUGAAAUCCAUUAAUCCUUGGGGGACCACCGGUAGCGAAGGCGUCUGACCAGACCGGGUCCGACGGUGAGGGACGAAGGCUAGGGGCGCGAACCGGAUUAGAUACCCCUGUAGU
rnacentral:rRNA from 1 species